AAAAAAAUGUUUUAUCGCUUCUCGGCCUUUUGGCUAAGAUCAAGUGUAAAAAAAUGUUUUAGAGAGCUGUUAUCUUAAACAGUGA
rnacentral:miRNA from 1 species